rnacentral:pre_miRNA from 1 species
AUAAUACUCCCUCCGUCCGGAAUUACUUGUCAUCAAAAUGGAUGUGUCUAGAACUAAAAUACAUCUAGAUACAUCCAUUUUAAUGACAAGUAUUUUCGGACGGAGGGAGUAGUAG